AUGGAUGUGAUGAUUAUUUCCCCAGAUGAUCGAAGCUGAACAUACUGUGCGAAUUUUUUUUUCUCUUUUUGAGAAAUCAAGCCAAAUAAUCUGAUCCAU
rfam:Medicago truncatula strain A17 chromosome 5, whole genome shotgun sequence.